rnacentral:ncRNA from 2 species
AACUUAUCAAGAGUGGUGGAGGGACUGGCCCCGUGAAACCCGGCAACCGAUUAUAAAAUACAAAUAAUUAGGUGCCAAAUCCUGCAGUUUAGGCUGAAAGAUAAGAG